GCCUACGGGAGGCAGCAGUGGGGAAUAUUGCACAAUGGGGGAAACCCUGAUGCAGCAACGCCGCGUGGGUGAAGGAGCGUUUCGGCGCGUAAAGCCCUGUCAGCGGGGAAGAAGAAAGACGGUACCCGACCAAGAAGCCCCGGCUAACUACGUGCCAGCAGCCGGGGGAAUACGUAGGGGGCGAGCGUUAUCCGGAAUUACUGGGUGUAAAGGGAGGGUAGACGGCGAGGUAAGCCUGAAGUGGAAGCCCGCGGCCCAACCCCGGGACUGCUCUUGGAACUGCAUGGCUGGAGUACAGGAGGGGG
rnacentral:rRNA from 1 species